rnacentral:rRNA from 1 species
UACGUAGGGUGCAAGCGUUAAUCGGAAUUACUGGGCGUAAAGCGUGCGCAGGCGGUUUUGUAAGUCAGAUGUGAAAUCCCCGGGCUUAACCUGGGAACUGCGUUUGAAACUACAAGGCUAGAGUGUGGCAGAGGGGGGUGGAAUUCCACGUGUAGCAGUGAAAUGCGUAGAGAUGUGGAGGAACACCGGUGGCGAAGGCGGCAUCCUGGACCGAUAUUGACGCUGAUGCGCGAAAGCCAGGGGAGCAAACGGG